GACGAACGCUGGCGGCGUGCUUAACACAUGCAAGUCGAGCGGAGCGGCGAACGGGUGAGUAACGCGUGAGUAACUGCCCCCCUCUCUGGGAUAACAGUUGGAAACGGCUGCUAAUACCUGAUAGUGGGGGAUGACUGGCGUCAUAUCAGCUUGUUGGUUGGGUAGUGGCCUACCAAGGGGACGACGGGUUCCCGGCCUGGGCGGGGGACCGGCCACAUUGGGCUGAGGUACGGCCCAAACUCCGACGGGAGGCAGCAGUGGGGAAUAUUGCACAACGGGGGAAACCCUGAGGAAGCAACGCCGCGGGCGGGAUGACGGCCUUCGGGUUGUAAACCGCUUUAAGCCAUGACGCGGUAGUGGCAGAAGAAGCACCGGCUAACUACGUGCCAGCAGCCGCGGUAAUUC
rnacentral:rRNA from 1 species